rnacentral:rRNA from 1 species
CCUACGGGGGACAGCAGUGGGGAAUAUUGGGCAAUGGGCGCAAGCCUGACCCAGCAACGCCGCGUGAAGGAAGAAGGCUUUCGGGUUGUAAACUUCUUUUAAGAGGGAAGAGCAGAAGACGGUACCUCUUGAAUAAGCCACGGCUAACUACGUGCCAGCAGCCGCGGUAAUACGUAGGUGGCAAGCGUUGUCCGGAUUUACUGGGUGUAAAGGGCGUGUAGCCGGGCUGACAAGUCAGAUGUGAAAUUCCGGGGCUCAACCCCGGACCUGCAUUUGAAACUGUUGGUCUUGAGUAUCGGAGAGGCAGGCGGAAUUCCUAGUGUAGCGGUGAAAUGCGUAGAUAUCAGGAGGAACACCGGGGGCGAAGGCGGCCUGCUGGACUGCGACUGACGUUGAGGCCCGAAAGCGUGGGGAGCAAACAGGAUUAGAUACCCGGGUAGUC